rnacentral:rRNA from 1 species
GCUAAACGCGAAGAACCUUACCCACCUUUGACAUGUACGGAAUCCUGCAGAGAUGCGGGAGUGCUCGCAAGAGAGCCGUAACACAGGUGCUGCAUGGCUGUCGUCAGCUCGUGUCGUGAGAUGUUGGGUUAAGUCCCGCAACGAGCGCAACCCUUGCCAUCAGUUGCUACGAAAGGGCACUCUGAUGGGACUGCCGGUGACAAACCGGAGGAAGGUGGGGAUGACGUCAAGUCCUCAUGGCCCUUAUAGGUGGGGCUACACACGUCAUACAAUGGCCGGUACAAAGGGCAGCGAAGCCGCGAGGUGAAGCCAAUCCCAUAAAGCCGGUCGUAGUCCGGAUCGCAGUCUGCAACUCGACUGCGUGAAGUCGGAAUCGCUAGUAAUCGUGGAUCAGCAUGUCACGGUGAAUACGUUCCCGGGUCUUGUACACACCG